rnacentral:rRNA from 1 species
UGGAGAACUUGAGUGCAGAAUAGGAGAGUGGAAUUCCACGUGUAGCGGUGACAUGCGUAGAGAUGUGGAGGAACAGCAGUGGCGAAGCGACUCUCUGGUCUGUUACUGACGCUUAGGUGCGAAAGCGUAGGGAGCAAACAGGAUUAGAUACCCUGGUAGUCCACGCCGUAAACGAUGAGUGCUAGGUGUUAGGGGGUUUCCGCACCUUAGUGCUGCAGUUAACGCAUUAAGCACUCCGCCUGGGGAGUACGGCCGCAAGGCUGAAACUCAAAAGAAUUGACGGGGACCCGCACAAGCGGUGGAGCAUGUGGUUUAUUUCGAAGCAACGCGAAGAACCUUACCAGGUCUUGACAUCCUUAUGCCCGCUCUAGAGAUAAAGUUUUCCCUUCGGGGACAUAAGUGACAGGUGGUGCAUGGUUGUCGUCAGCUCGUGUCGUGAGAUUUUGGGUUAAGUCCCGCAACGAGCGCAACCCUUGAUCUUAGUUGCCAGCAUUCAGUUGGGCACUCUAAGGUGACUGCCGGUGACAAACCGGAGGAAGGUGGGGAUGACGUCAAAUCAUCAUGCCCCUUAUGACCUGGGCUACACACGUGCUACAGUGGAUGGUACAAAGGGCAGCAAAGCCGCAAGGCCAAGCGAAUCCCAUAAAACCAUUCUCAGUUCGGAUCCUAGGCUGCAACUCGCCUACAUGAAGCCGGAAUCGUUAGUAAUCGCGGGUCAGCAUGCCGCGGUGAAUACGUUCCCGGGUCUUGUACACACCGCCCGUCACACCACGAGAGUUAGCAACACCCGAAGUCGGUGAGGUAACCAUUUGGAGCCAGCCGCCGAUGGUGGGGCCAAUGAUUGGGGUGAAGUCGUUUCAAGGUAACCAU